rnacentral:rRNA from 1 species
UGGGGAAUAUUGGACAAUGGGGGAAACCCUGAUCCAGCGACGCCGCGUGUGUGAAGAAGGCCUGCGGGUUGUAAAGCACUUUUAGUGGGGAUGAAAAGCCCAGGGCUAAUACCUCUGGGUCUUGACCUAACCCACAGAAAAAGCACCGGCUAACUCUGUGCCAGCAGCCGCGGUAAUACAGAGGGUGCAAGCGUUAAUCGGAAUUACUGGGCGUAAAGCGUGCGUAGACGGUUAUGUAAGUCAGGUGUGAAAGCCCCGGGCUCAACCUGGGAAUUGCAUUUGAGACUGCAUAGCUAGGGUGCGGAAGAGGGAAGCGGAAUUUCCGGUGUAGCGGUGAAAUGCGUAGAUAUCGGAAGGAACACCAGUGGCGAAAGCGGCUUCCUGGUCCAGCACCGACGUUCAGGCACGAAAGCGUGGGGAGCAAACAGG